UUUAUACCACAUCACUGGGCCAACACCGAGAGACAGGAAGGCAGGGACCCAACCUCUUCUGCGGGCCCUGAGCCCAUCAUGGCCAACAGACUCUUUUUCUGGGUCUCCAUUUUUCUCCUGGGAGCAGCUCCCACUGAAACUGGAGUCACUCAAACACCGAGACACCUGGUCACAAAGGUGAAGCAGGAGGUGACGCUGAGAUGUCAGCAAAAUUUGGGCCAUAAUACCAUGUACUGGUACCAACAGGAGCCACAGAAAGGACCCAGGAUAAUGUUUUCUUAUACUUUUAAAGACAUGAAUUUAAAUGAGACCGUUCCUCCAAGAUUCAAACCUGCAUCAUCAGGGAAUGGUCACUUGACUCUCAAAAUCCACCCUUUGCAAGCAGAGGACUCAGCCACCUACUUCUGUAGCAGCAGCAGAGACACAGCCUUGCAGAGUCAUCUCCAAGCUGUGCAGAAACCUCCUGUCUCCAGCAUAGGAAGAAAGGAGGGAGGGAAGUCACCACACCAGAGAGUUAACUCACAUUAG